rnacentral:rRNA from 1 species
CCGGCGCACGGGUGAGUAACACGUAUCCAACCUGCCGUCUACUCUUGGACAGCCUUCUGAAAGGAAGAUUAAUACAAGAUGGCAUCAUGAGUCCGCAUGUUCACAUGAUUUAAAGGUAUUCCGGUAGACGAUGGGGAUGCGUUCCAUUAGAUAGUAGGCGGGGUAACGGCCCACCUAGUCUUCGAUGGAUAGGGGUUCUGAGAGGAAGGUCCCCCACAUUGGAACUGAGACACGGUCCAAACUCCUACGGGAGGCAGCAG